GGAAAGGCGCGCGAUACAGGGUGACAGCCCCGUACACAAAAAUGCACAUGCUGUGAGCUCGAUGAGUAGGGCGGGACACGUGGUAUCCUGUCUGAAUAUGGGGGGACCAUCCUCCAAGGCUAAAUACUCCUGACUGACCGAUAGUGAACCAGUACCGUGAGGGAAAGGCGAAAAGAACCCCGGCGAGGGGAGUGAAAAAGAACCUGAAACCGUGUACGUACAAGCAGUGGGAGCACGCUUAGGCGUGUGACUGCGUACCUUUUGUAUAAUGGGUCAGCGACUUAUAUUCUGUAGCAAGGUUAACCGAAUAGGGGAGCCGAAGGGAAACCGAGUCUUAACUGGGCGUUAAGUUGCAGGGUAUAGACCCGAAACCCGGUGAUCUAGCCAUGGGCAGGUUGAAGGUUGGGUAACACUAACUGGAGGACCGAACCGACUAAUGUUGAAAAAUUAGCGGAUGACUUGUGGCUGGGGGUGAAAGGCCAAUCAAACCGGGAGAUAGCUGGUUCUCCCCGAAAGCUAUUUAGGUAGCGCCUCGUGAAUUCAUCUCCGGGGGUAGAGCACUGUUUCGGCAAGGGGGUCAUCCCGACUUACCAACCCGAUGCAAACUGCGAAUACCGGAGAAUGUUAUCACGGGAGACACACGGCGGGUGCUAACGUCCGUCGUGAAGAGGGAAACAACCCAGACCGCCAGCUAAGGUCCCAAAGUCAUGGUUAAGUGGGAAACGAUGUGGGAAGGCCCAGACAGCCAGGAUGUUGGCUUAGAAGCAGCCAUCAUUUAAAGAAAGCGUAAUAGCUCACUGGUCGAGUCGGCCUGCGCGGAAGAUGUAACGGGGCUAAACCAUGCACCGAAGCUGCGGCAGCGACGCUGAUGCGUUGUUGGGUAGGGGAGCGUUCUGUAAGCCUGCGAAGGUGUGCUGUGAGGCAUGCUGGAGGUAUCAGAAGUGCGAAUGCUGACAUAAGUAACGAUAAAGCGGGUGAAAAGCCCGCUCGCCGGAAGACCAAGGGUUCCUGUCCAACGUUAAUCGGGGCAGGGUGAGUCGACCCCUAAGGCGAGGCCGAAAGGCGUAGUCGAUGGGAAACAGGUUAAUAUUCCUGUACUUGGUGUUACUGCGAAGGGGGGACGGAGAAGGCUAUGUUGGCCGGGCGACGGUUGUCCCGGUUUAAGCGUGUAGGCUGGUUUUCCAGGCAAAUCCGGAAAAUCAAGGCUGAGGCGUGAUGACGAGGCACUACGGUGCUGAAGCAACAAAUGCCCUGCUUCCAGGAAAAGCCUCUAAGCAUCAGGUAACAUCAAAUCGUACCCCAAACCGACACAGGUGGUCAGGUAGAGAAUACCAAGGCGCUUGAGAGAACUCGGGUGAAGGAACUAGGCAAAAUGGUGCCGUAACUUCGGGAGAAGGCACGCUGAUAUGUAGGUGAAGUCCCUCGCGGAUGGAGCUGAAAUCAGUCGAAGAUACCAGCUGGCUGCAACUGUUUAUUAAAAACACAGCACUGUGCAAACACGAAAGUGGACGUAUACGGUGUGACGCCUGCCCGGUGCCGGAAGGUUAAUUGAUGGGGUUAGCGCAAGCGAAGCUCUUGAUCGAAGCCCCGGUAAACGGCGGCCGUAACUAUAACGGUCCUAAGGUAGCGAAAUUCCUUGUCGGGUAAGUUCCGACCUGCACGAAUGGCGUAAUGAUGGCCAGGCUGUCUCCACCCGAGACUCAGUGAAAUUGAACUCGCUGUGAAGAUGCAGUGUACCCGCGGCAAGACGGAAAGACCCCGUGAACCUUUACUAUAGCUUGACACUGAACAUUGAGCCUUGAUGUGUAGGAUAGGUGGGAGGCUUUGAAGUGUGGACGCCAGUCUGCAUGGAGCCGACCUUGAAAUACCACCCUUUAAUGUUUGAUGUUCUAACGUUGACCCGUAAUCCGGGUUGCGGACAGUGUCUGGUGGGUAGUUUGACUGGGGCGGUCUCCUCCUAAAGAGUAACGGAGGAGCACGAAGGUUGGCUAAUCCUGGUCGGACAUCAGGAGGUUAGUGCAAUGGCAUAAGCCAGCUUGACUGCGAGCGUGACGGCGCGAGCAGGUGCGAAAGCAGGUCAUAGUGAUCCGGUGGUUCUGAAUGGAAGGGCCAUCGCUCAACGGAUAAAAGGUACUCCGGGGAUAACAGGCUGAUACCGCCCAAGAGUUCAUAUCGACGGCGGUGUUUGGCACCUCGAUGUCGGCUCAUCACAUCCUGGGGCUGAAGUAGGUCCCAAGGGUAUGGCUGUUCGCCAUUUAAAGUGGUACGCGAGCUGGGUUUAGAACGUCGUGAGACAGUUCGGUCCCUAUCUGCCGUGGGCGCUGGAGAACUGAGGGGGGCUGCUCCUAGUACGAGAGGACCGGAGUGGACGCAUCACUGGUGUUCGGGUUGUCAUGCCAAUGGCACUGCCCGGUAGCUAAAUGCGGAAGAGAUAAGUGCUGAAAGCAUCUAAGCACGAAACUUGCCCCGAGAUGAGUUCUCCCUGACUCCUUGAGAGUCCUGAAGGAACGUUGAAGACGACGACGUUGAUAGGCCGGGUGUGUAAGCGCAGCGAUGCGUUGAGCUAACCGGUACUAAUGAACCGUGAGGCUUAACCUU
rnacentral:rRNA from 1 species